rnacentral:rRNA from 1 species
UACAGAGGUCUCAAGCGUUGUUCGGAUUCAUUGGGCGUAAAGGGUGCGUAGGCGGCGCGGUAAGUCGGGUGUGAAAUCUCGGAGCUUAACUCCGAAACUGCAUUCGAUACUGCCGUGCUUGAGGACUGGAGAGGAGACUGGAAUUUACGGUGUAGCAGUGAAAUGCGUAGAUAUCGUAAGGAAGACCAGUGGCGAAGGCGGGUCUCUGGACAGUUCCUGACGCUGAUGCACGAAGGCCAGGGGGAGCAAACGGGG